rnacentral:rRNA from 1 species
UACAGAGGUCUCAAGCGUUGUUCGGAUUCAUUGGGCGUAAAGGGUGCGUAGGCGGCGCGGUAAGUCGGGUGUGAAAUCUCGGAGCUUAACUCCGAAACUGCAUUCGAUACUGCCGUGCUUGAGGACUGGAGAGGAGACUGGAAUUUACGGUGUAGCGGUGAAAUGCGUAGAUAUCGUAAGGAAGACCAGUGGCGAAGGCGGGUCUCUGGACAGUUCCUGACACUGAGACACGAAGGCCAGGGGAGCAAACGGG